rnacentral:rRNA from 1 species
AUGGUCGGCUCGAUUGCCGCCCAGGCCGUGGUCCUCGGGGCCAUCCUGCUGCUCGCGGGGCUCGCGGCCGCCCAGCAGACGCCGAGGGCGCCCGCGCCCGACCCCGGCUGCAACGGCAUCCAGCUCACCUACAACCUCCAGGGCCGCGAGAAGAUCCGCCCAUUCGUCCCCGACAGGAACAAGCAGCCUUACUCCUUCAAGGCCAACGCCUCCGUGCUCAACGGCGGCACCCGCCCGCUCAGGUCCUGGGCGAUGCUCGUCACCUUCGGCCACGACGAGAUCCUCGUCGGCGUCGGCGGCGCCGUGCUCACCGGCGGGGCCGAGCUGCCCUACAACACCACCGAUGACGCCGGCAACGCCACCUCCUUCUCCGGGUACCCGCAGACGGACCUCCUCACGCCGAUUGCCACCGCCGGGGACAUCACGCAGAUCCAGGCCUCCGUCGGAUUGGUCGGCACGCUCUUCGCCGGCCCGCGCGGCCUCGUGCCGGAGCCGCUGCCCACCGCCUUGACGCUCCACGACCCGGACUACAACUGCCCGGCGGCGACCAAUGUCACCGCCACCAUCCUCACCACCUGUUGCCUCCUCACCCCCGAGGCCGAGGCCAACGCCACGGUCCCCGAGGCCAACGCCACCGACCCCACCAAGAGCUUCCUCCCGCGCCGCACCGGCGACCUCGUCAUCACCUACGACGUCGUCCAGGCAUACCCGACCAGCUACCUGGCGCUUGUCACGCUCGAGAACAACGCCAAGCUCGGCCGCCUCGACAACUGGCGGCUGUCGUGGGAGUGGCGCCGCGGCGAGUUCAUUUACUCGAUGAAGGGCGCACACCCAUUGGAGGUGGACUUCAAUGACUGCAUCUAUGGCGCACCAGGCCAGUACUAUCAGAGCCUGGAUUUCUCCCAGGUGCUCAACUGCGAGAAGAAGCCGGUCAUCCUUGACCUGCCGCUGUCCCGGUACAAUGACACACAGAUGGGGAAGAUUGAGCAUUGCUGCAGGAAUGGCACCAUCCUGCCCAAGUCCAUGGACGCGGCUCAGUCAAAAUCGGCGUUCCAAAUGCAGGUGUUCAAGAUGCCACCGGAUACCAACCGGACAAAGCUCUUCCCACCGGCCAAUUUCAAGAUCUCUGGCGGCUCAUCGCUGAACCCAGACUAUAGCUGUGGCCAGCCAGUGCCUGUCAGCCCCACCGGGUUCCCUAAUCCCAGCGGGCUCGACUCUACAACGCUGGCGGUUGCGACAUGGCAGGUGGUGUGCAACAUUACCACGGCCAAGGGGGCCAAGCCCAAGUGUUGUGUCACCUUCUCGGCUCACUACAAUGACUCAGUCAUUCCCUGCAACACCUGUGCAUGCGGUUGUCCUGUGAACCGCCGGGGUCCUACCUGCAGCACGACUGCUCCAUCCAUGAUCUUGCCACCGGAGGCGCUGCUUGUGCCGUUCGAUAACCGUACACAGAAGGCACAGGCAUGGGCUCAGUUGAAGCACUACAAUGUGCCUAGGCCAAUGCCUUGUGGUGAUUUUUGUGGUGUGAGCAUCAAUUGGCAUGUCUCAACAGACUUCAACAAGGGCUGGAGUGCUCGGGUGACAUUGUUCAAUUGGGGUGAUGUCGACAUGGCCAACUGGUUUGCUGCCAUGGUCAUGGACAAGGCGUAUGACGGAUUUGAGAAGGCAUACUCUUUCAAUGCAACAGCAGAGGGCAAUAACACCAUCUUUAUGCAGGGCCUUGAGGGGCUCAAUUACCUUGUGAAGCAGACCAACAUGAGCGGGUCGGAUUACCUCGUGCCAGGAAAGCAGCAAUCAGUGCUCUCAUUCACCAAGAAGCUGACUCCUGAUAUCGAUGUUGUCGCUGGAGAUGGGUUCCCAACAAAGGUCUUCUUCAAUGGUGACGAAUGUGCUAUGCCGCAGAGGUUACCGAUCAAGAGUGGUGGAUUCAGGACCCAUCUAAGCAGUGCCCUUGCUUUUGUCUUGCUCAUGGCUGCUUCGGCCUUGCUGUUGCUUCAGCAAUAA